rnacentral:rRNA from 1 species
UAAUACGUAGGGUGCGAGCGUUAAUCGGAAUUACUGGGCGUAAAGCGUGCGCAGGCGGCUUUGUAAGACAGAUGUGAAAUCCCCGGGCUCAACCUGGGAACUGCAUUUGUGACUGCAAGGCUAGAGUGCGUCAGAGGGAGGUGGAAUUCCGCGUGUAGCAGUGAAAUGCGUAGAGAUGCGGAGGAACACCGAUGGCGAAGGCAGCCUCCUGGGAUGACACUGACGCUCAUGCACGAAAGCGUGGGGAGCAAACAGGAUUAGAUACCCUGGUAGUCCACGCCCUAAACGAUGUCAACUAGUUGUCGGGGAUUCAUUUCCUUGGUAACGCAGCUAACGCGUGAAGUUGACCGCCUGGGGAGUACGGCCGCAAGGUUAAAACUUAAAUGAAUUGACGG